UGUUGCUUGCAAGGGCGUAUGGUGGAUGCCUUGGCAGACAGGACCGAUGAAGGACGUUUGAGGCUGCGAUAUGCCUCGGGGAGCCGCCAACAGGGCUUUGAUCCGAGGAUUUCCGAAUGGGGGAACCCACCGACCGUCAUGGGUCGGUACCGGCUUCGGCCGGGGGGUACGCAGGGAAGUGAAACAUCUCAGUACCUGCAGGAAAGGAUAUUCCGUGAGUAGUGGCGAGCGAAAGCGGAUGAUGGCCAAACCUUGCGCGUGUGAUACCCGUCGGGGGUUGCGCGCGGGGUGUUGCGGGAUCGCGUGUGCCGGCUCCGACGGGCCGGCCGGCAGUUGCAGAAAACCAUGUGUCAGGGGAACCGGGUUGAAUACCGGGCCGCAGAGGGUGAGGGCCCCGUACCUGAACGCGCAUGGUCUGCCGAUCGCGUCUCCCAAGUAGCACGGGUCCCGUGGAACCCCGUGCGAAUCCGCCCAGACCGUUGGGUAAGCCUGAAUAUUCCUGUCUGACCGAUAGCGAACGAGUACCGUGAGGGAAAGGUGAAAAGUACCCCGGGAGGGGAGUGAAACAGUCUCUGAAACCGUGCGCCUACAAUCCGUCGGAGCCCUUUUGUGGGGUGACGGCGUGCCUAUCGAAAAAUGAGUCUGCGAGUCAGUGGCAUGUGGCGAGCAUAACCCGUGUGGGGUAUGCGUAGCGAAGGCGAGUCUUAAAAGGCGUUUGAGUCGCGUGUCCUGGACCCGAAGCGGGAUGAUCUAGCCCUGAGCAGGUUGAAGCGCGGGUAAGACCGCGUGGAGGACCGAACCCACCUGGGUUGAAAACCGGGGGGAUGACUUGGGGUUAGGGGUGAAAGGCCAAUCAAAUUCCGUGAUAGCUGGUUCUCUCCGAAAUGCAUUUAGGUGCAGCGUCGGGGAUUACGUCCGGGGGGUAGAGCUACUGGAUGCUUGAGGGCCCGUAUCGGGUACCGACAGCAGCCAAACUCCGAAUACCCGUGACGCGUAUCCCGGCAGUGAGUCGGCGGGGGAUAAGCUCCGUCGUCGAAAGGGAGACAGCCCAGAUCGUCGUCUAAGGUCCCCAAGCGCGUGCUAAGUGGGAAAGGAUGUGGAGUCGCAUAGACAGCCAGGAGGUUGGCUCAGAAGCAGCCACCCUUGAAAGAGUGCGUAACAGCUCACUGGUCUAGUGGUUCCGCGCCGACAAUGUAGCGGGGCUCAAGCACACCACCGAAGACGCGGCAGUAUUUUGUACUGGGUAGGAGAGCGUCCCAUGAGGGGCGAAGCGGCCGUGUGAACGCGCCGUGGACUUCAUGGGAGUGAGAAUGCAGACAUGAGUAGCGAGAGACGGGUGAAGAUCCCGUCCGCUGGAUGACCAAGGGUUCCAGGGCCACGUUCAUCGUCCCUGGGUGAGUCGGGUCCUAAGGCGAGGCCGACAGGCGUAGUCGAAUGGAUGAACGGGUCGAUAUUCCCGUACCGGCUUUCAGCCGCCAAAACCGAGGCUUGGAGUACUAACCUCCGGGUCCGGGCUUACUGCUCCUUCGGGGGCGGGAUGCCCUGGCCUGUUGGGACCGAUCCUUGUAGUAGGUCAGCGCAGGAGUGACGCAGAAGGGUAGCCGGCCGCGGAGGUGGUCUUCCGUGGUCAAGCACGCAGGGCGUGGGACAGGCAAAUCCGUCCCGCAUGGGUCCGAGGUGCGAUGAUGGGGGCCUUAUGGCCCGAUAUCCGGUGAUCCCGGCUGCCGAGAAAAGCUUCGGCGUCAGGCUCAAAGCCGCCCGUACCCCAAACCGACACUGGUGGUCAGGUAGAGAAUACCAAAGCGAUCGAGCGAAUCCUGGUCAAGGAACUCGGCAAAUCACUCCCGUUCCUUCGGUUUAAGGGAGACCCCCGAUGGUGAACACACUUGCUGUGGGAGCUUUUGGGGGUGGCACAGACCAGGGGGUAGCGACUGUUUACCAAAAACACAGGUGCAUGCGAAGGCGCAAGCCGCUGUAUAUGCACUGACGCCUGCCCGGUGCCGGAAGGUUAAGAGGAUCCGUCAGCCUUCGGGUGAAGCGGUGAAUUCAAGCCCCGGUAAACGGCGGUGGUAACUAUAACCAUCCUAAGGUAGCGAAAUUCCUUGUCGGGUAAGUUCCGACCUGCACGAAUGGCGUAACGA
rnacentral:rRNA from 1 species